rnacentral:rRNA from 1 species
UGGGGAAUAUUGGACAAUGGGCGAAAGCCUGAUCCAGCAAUGCCGCGUGAGUGAUGAAGGCCUUAGGGUUGUAAAGCUCUUUUACCGGGGAUGAUAAUGACAGUACCUGGAGAAUAAGCUCCGGCUAACUCCGUGCCAGCAGCCGCGGUAAUACGGAGGGAGCUAGCGUUGUUCGGAAUUACUGGGCGUAAAGCGCGCGUAGGCGGCUUUUCAAGUCAGGGGUGAAAUCCCGGGGCUCAACCCCGGAACUGCCCUUGAAACUGGAUGGCUAGAAUACUGGAGAGGUGAGUGGAAUUCCCAGUGUAGAGGUGAAAUUCGUAGAUAUUGGGAAGAACACCAGUGGCGAAGGCGGCCACCUGGCCCGGUACUGACGCUGAGGCGCGAAAGCGUGGGGAGCAAACAGGAUAAGAUACCCCUGUAGUCC